GAGAGCACAGUAAGAUGAAAGUUGUGAGUUGUGUUCGGGGGGGAGUUAUUGUCUAUAAUUGGCAUGUAUGGUAGAAUUAGUCAGGGAGGCUUGAGAGGCGGUGGUUUACCCUGU
rnacentral:ncRNA from 1 species